CAUGCAGAGGUUUUCCCAGGAUGCCUUAGGGGACCACUUCCAGUCUAUGUGGAGGUUUUGCACCUCCAGCCUCCAGGAAAGACCAAGCACACGAGUUAAAAUAUGUAGCUGGCAGUACACGGCACUAACCACGGACCCGUGGCACUCAUUAGAUGGUGGCUGCUCCUCACAAGUGCCAUCAGGCAUGCAAUUCCUGCUCCUGAUUCUGCUAACGAUGCUGGUUAACACAUUGCUGUGUCGCUGUUCAAGCCACCUAGACAACAUGGUCUUGUCAGUCUGGAAUGAGCUUAUCUUUUACUUAUCAUUUUCUUUGACACCAUCCUCUGAUAAGCUGAGAGAUAAAUACAUAACAGACUCUGCAA